rnacentral:rRNA from 1 species
UACGUAGGGGGCAAGCGUUAUCCGGAAUUACUGGGCGUAAAGCGUGCGCAGGCGGUUCGUUGUGUCGGCGGUGAAAGCCCCGGGCUUAACCUGGGAAUGGCCGUUGAAACUGGCGAACUGGAGUGUGGCAGAGGGGGUGGAAUUCCGGCGUGUAGCAGUGAAAUGCGUAGAUAAUGUGGAGGAACACCGAUGGCGAAGGCAGCCCCCUGGGUCAAAACUGACGCUCGAUGCACGAAAGCGUGGG